GAAACCGGAAACUCGCCCCACAAAUCUUAAGGCAUGAGCUCUAGGAAAAGUCAGCGCUCACGAGCAAAGACUGCUCCUACUCACCUUAGAUUCGGGGGACAGAUUCGGACUUCUAAAAACUACUAAGGGAAAAAGGAAAAGGACUUAGGCUCGGGGUCUCUGGCUAUCGCAAGUAGCUUACCCGACCUCGCGCUGCCGAGGUCGGAUUGGCAUGAGAAAAAAGAAAACAAGACAUUUAGGAAAAAAGCUUAAAAAGAGCAAUUACACAAAUAUCUACAUUCAACAUUAACAUUGUAUAAUACAAGGCCUACUGGCCUCAACACCCACAAAAAGAAAAAAGAAAACUAAGAGUCCUACUGCCCUGUCUGCCCAGGUCCUUGAGCCCCGAGGGGAGGAAGCUCCACCUCGUCAUCGAAGAAGGCGGCCAAGGCGUCUCCAGGGACAGUUGCGGCGUCCUCAAGCCUCUGCACCUCCUCCUGGGCCUCAGUCUCGUCAUCUGGGAGAACGUAGCCCUC
rnacentral:lncRNA from 1 species